rnacentral:rRNA from 1 species
AACCUGCUGAAGGAUCAUGUGCACACGUGUGUACACUAACCUGCUAAUGAUAUUGUGGGCGGUGUAAGCUUGCAUUACAAUAAUAUUACAUGUGCCCUGGGCUGUGUGACUUGUUUUGCAAACAUUCGUUAUGCAUUGCAUAAACAAGUUUGGUAAACUGAGUGGUGCUGUGUUUGUGUACGAUGAUUAGGUUUUGCAACGAAUGUUUUAGUUCAAUACAUGAUGAAUAAUGCAGGACAAUGCAGUAUGCAUUGUGAAUUGCAGAAUUCCGUGAGCUAACAUAUGUUUGAAUGUUACUUGCGCCUUUGGGAUAUUCUUGAAGGUUUGCUUGGUUCAAUGCCAAGUAUCUUCCAUAUGCAAUACUGCUGUUUAGCAUUGCUGUGAACAAGGAGAGUCAAUGUGUAUUGCAUUGAACAUGGAUGUGUUGCAGCUGCUUUUGCAACCUAAACAUGGUUGAUUGGGGGCAAACUUGUUUCGUCAUGUGCUGGUUGCUGUUUUGUAAAAUGUGAACAACUGAGACAAGCUGAAGACUUGCAUAUGCUUAGCAUGAAGUGAAGCACAUACACCUGCUGAAUUUAAGCAUAUAAGUAAGUGGUGGAAAUUAAACCAAAUGGGAUAUCUUUAGUAAUUGCGAAUGAACAAGGAUAUGCUUAGCUUGACAAAUGGAGCUAUUGGCUUUGAAUUGUAUUGUGGAAAUGUAUUACCAACAGAGGUGCAUGUGCCAGCCUAUUGAAAUAAAGCGUCAAUGAGAGUGAGAAUCCUGUUUGUCAUGUGCAGCCCUUUGUGCACGGUGUAUAUUUGCUGAGUCACACUCCUUGGCAUUGGAAUGCAAAGUGGGUGGUAAGUUUCAUGUAAAGGUAAACAUGCAAUUGAGACUGAUAGCACACAAGUACCAUGAGGGAAAUAUGAAAAGGACUUUGAAAAGAGAAUUAAAUGAGUUUGUAUUUGCUGAACACAAAGUAAACAGACUUGAUUUGCUUGGUGGGAGUGUUGCACUUGCUUGACAAGAGCUUUGGGCUGUGGGUGUAAUGAUUCUUUCUUUGCAUGCCAGUUUCUAUUUGUACAUCUGAUUACCUUUGCACAUGAAUGAUAAGUCUCCUGUGGGGGGUGGAUUGCAUGUGCAUGUAAUGAUUUGUGUUUUGAUAAAUGUGUCUGGUGUAUGUGUGUGUUCCUGUGCUUGGGGAUGCUUCCUUCCUUGGACUUACAAGCCCUGACACACACAUGCUGGCAAAAUGCUUCUGCUUGACCCGUCUUGAAACACGGACCAAGGAGUCUAACAGAUGUGCAAAGUUUGAAGGUGGUAUACCUUUGUGUGCAAUGAAAGUGUCAGCUGGGAUAUGUGCACCAGCACCCAAUUAAUUAGCGGACAGAGGUUUGAGUUGGAGCAUAUCUAUUAGGACC